UCAGUUAAAGCGAGAGCCCAUGCUCGACU
rnacentral:sRNA from 1 species